AUGUGCCUUUUUUAAAAUAAAGAAAUCCAACCGGAAACCAAAUGAAGAAAUGACAGGGAAAGGGGAGCAGCUCAGUUUCAGUAUACACUACUAAUGGGGUUACGGAAACAAUCCUCUCCAAUAGGGAAACAAUCCUCUCCAAUAACGAUUUCUCAUAUACAACCCACUCCUAUCCUUUCUGUUUUCUCUGUGGCUCGAUCUACUCAAUUGUUUCUUUUUAUCGCUUUCCCUUUCCCUCUUGCAGAUCUCCCAUUUGAGACACCCUCCAGCUUCAUGCCAUUUUUGAAGGCUUUCCAAGUUGAAAUCUGCUUAGAAAGCUAGUCAGCGACUACCGACUAGUAUCGCUGGUUCUGGCUGAGUGAGAUCUAGAGUUUCCGGUUGGGGAGGACAUAGAAUCUGCUGUUUUCUUGAGGAUGUACACUCAGAGGAGGCCGAUCAAAUGGCUGAACAAAUUUCAGUAGAUGAAUGGAAGAAAAAGGGUAAGAAGAAGCAGAAAAGAAAAAAAGAAUAUUAAAAAGCAUACCGUGGUGGUGGAUUCAAAGAAUGUUGAUGAAAAGAAUGAUGAAGAUGAUUUUGAGAUUGAGAGGAAGUCUACUAAAAAUGAGCUUGUGGAGUAUACAACUGGGGACUUUAGUUCUAGAUGUGGCGAAAAUUUCUGAAGCUGAUUUUGAGGAAAGAAAAUGCCAAAUUGAUUAUUGGAUACAUAGAGGAAAUGAAUCUUGUGCAGUUUCUCAAGCUCAUUUAUCAAAAAUGAGGAAUUUUCAAAUCAUUGAUGAGGUUGUAUCCUAAUUACUCUCACGGCAAUUGGAUAAAUGGUAUUGCUAUUGUUAAUGGUGAAGUAAAAUUAUACAAUAUGAGAUAUGAAGGUAAGUGCUAAUUUUAUAUUUUAUGCAUACUUAUGACAUUAAAAUAGAUCAUUAUGUUAUUGUUCGUUGUUAGAUGCAAUGCAUGUUUUAUAAUAAUUUAUUGACUUGUUUAUUUAAAUAGUUUGUGUGUGGGAAUUAUAUAAAUAAUAUAUCUUAAUUCUAUUUUUAGUUGGUUUCAUGUUUCUUUUUGAGUAAAUAUUUUGUUUCUUUGUUUAUAAAGGAAAUGGAAGGGCAUUUGACUGACAUUAAGAAUUUGCAUCGGAUAAUCCUAGCUGUGUUGAUGAAAUUGUCUCUGAAAGAAUUUGAUGAUGAGUCAUUUGAUUGGCAAGUGAAGGCUAAACGAUCUAAAUAUUUCUAUAAAAAAUAUUGCUCGGAGGAAUUUGCGCAUUUAAUGUGCGAAUUGCACUGGUACAUUGACAAUUAAGAAAUUUUCAUAUGUUUAAGAUGUGUUAUUUAUUAUUGUUUAUGUAGUCUUGCAUGAAUUUUGUUGUUUUAACGGCUGACUUCUUUCACAGUAAGUAUCUACAAAUAUUUUUUUAUAAACCAUUCUUUUGGGAUCCUACAGAAAGAAAAUGGUUUUUAGAAAAAGUUUGACUUAAUGUGGACGAAAAAUGAUUAUCUAUUGAAAAGGUAUGUUGAUAGUUGUUUUGAUAGCAAGUGGAGUUGGUGGACACAUGUACCACCCAAAGGACUUUUUAGAGAUGUAUUGGAAUAUAAAAUGGGUCAAAAUAGUGAUGGUCGGGAUGAAAGUCACAAGAAGUUGGAUGCAAUCAGCUUUUGGCAUAAUUGUCGAUUUCAUUUGAAUAAUCAUUUGGACAAGUCUGAAAGACCUGUCUUCAAGACAUAAAUUGACUACAAUGCUACAUGAAAGAUUUGGAUUUGGGUUGCUGAUUAACCAGCAAGGAGUUGAUACAGGGAGCAACCAAUAAGGUUAGUAUUUCUUUAUUAUCCUUCAAAUUGUCUGAUCCAUCGGGUGGAACAAGUGUUCUAUUUCCGCUCCUACUUGUGUUUCUAAAGUUGUUGAUCUCCAAAUCAAAUACUGUUUAAUUCAUUGAAAGCUAAGUCAGAGCACUACAAAUGACAGAGAGACUAAAGCCCAAAUCAGUCUCCAAGGUUGUCAAAAUGAGUUAUGGAUCUAUUACAAAAGCCCAUAAUUGAUGUGUCACGACCAGUCUUGGGAUUUAUUUUAUAUCUGAAGCUUCGGAGGUCCAAAUGAAGCAAACCCAAGCCCAAUUGAACCUUAAGAACCACCUCUACAAUUGUUGUGAAGGGCUGGAAGCGAGAUAAGACCAUUUUAAUUGUAAAAAAUGGCAAUGAAGUCGUCAUUAUGGGCUGGAUACUCUAUCAGAAAUCGGUUUCGAUUUUUGGCCCAUAACUUGGGCUGUAGAUCUCCGAUUUGGGCAAAUGAGUAUCCGUUGGAAAGCUAAGAAGUAGAGCUACAACUUUCCUGAAGAAGUCAGAGAUAGAAUCGCAAGAGGAGUGGUUGAAAAUUGGUCAUGAUUGCAGAGCAAAGAAUCUAUCUUUUUGAAUUUCUAAAAUUUUCCAAGUUCAGUUUUAUCUUUGGGAUUAGGUUUUUUAUUAUAAAGCUCAUCAUUGGACAGCAGCUUCGACACAUCCAUUCACACCUUUGAAACAGCUUGGAGAGCUUCACAACACCUUCAUUUUUCAUUCACAUCCAUAGUUUUAGAUUUCUCCAUUUUAUUUUUCUUUUGUAAGCCAUGAACAUGAGCGGCUAAGUUUUUAAUUCAGUUCAAGAGAUUUUAGUUCUUAUGCAUGAUUUGUAAGACUGGGUUCUUAAUUUAAAUUUUAUCUUUUUGAAUA